rnacentral:rRNA from 1 species
GACGAACGCUGGCGGCGUGCCUAAUACAUGCAAGUAGAACGCAGUUGCGAACGGGUGAGUAACGCGUAGGUAACUGCCUGGUAGCGGGGGAUAACUAUUGGAAACGAUAGCUAAUACCGCAUACUACCAGAUGGACCUGCGUUGUAUUAGCUAGUUGGUGGGGUAACGGCUCACCAAGGAAACGAUACAUAGCCGACCUGAGAGGGGGAGUGGACCCAUUGGGACUAUGACACGGCCCAUACUCCGUCGGGAGGCAGCAGUAGGGAAUCUUCGGAAAUGGACGGAAGUCUGACCGGGCAACGCCGCGUGAGUGAAGAAGGUUUUCGGAUCGUAAAGCUCUGUUGUAAGAGAAGCGGUAUCUUACCAGAAAGGGACUGCUAACUACGUGCCAGCAGCCGCGGUAAUUC